CUGCCCCACAAGCACAAGGUCCUGGAUCCGAACCCUGGUACCAACAAAAAACAAUACACUGGUUGUUGCUGAAGUCACUGGCCUUCCUCAAAGUCAUCCACAAGUCCUGCUCUGGCCCUGUGAGGGCUCGGCCCUCCCACGACCUUGGUGACCUGUGCUUCAGCUGUCAAAUGGGAAAGCAGCAGGCAGAGGACACCACAUUCCACUUCCUCCCCUCCAAAGUCAUCUCUUUCACCAGACGGAACACGUCACAGAGCCACGUGGAGGAAGCUGGGAGAUGAACAGUUUGUACUCCAUGGUAACCAGCCAGUCUCGGGCCCUAGGAGACGUCUGGGACCUGCAUGUGAGGGACUCUGCUAAAACCCAAGCCAUGGAGACGAAAGUAUGACCCUAGAAGGGCCUUGUGCCGCUGUCUGGACCUGCAGCUACGGAAACUGCCGGCCUCUUUCUGCACUGCCGCCGCGGAUUUCACAGUCGCUCUUGCCACUUCUUGCCCUUGGACACUCUCUUUGGCUGCGCGCGUAGACCCUUCCUUCAGGAAGCGUUCCUACGCAGCAACGACAGUGCACGUGCCUCAGACGCCCGCGGCUGUCACUGCAGCCGGCCCAUAAGACCCUACGGGGCUCUGAGUCACAGACAGACCUGUGGCGCCGCGGAGGCAGCCAGCUGCUGUUAGCGGUGUCCGAAUCUGAUAACGCGAACAUCUGUGAGAAGAGCUUUAUUUAUGAAGUUCAGUCCUCCCCGCCUAAGUUCAAAGACUUCACAGACUGCACACGAAAAGGCCAGGCCAAGUACACACACGAGCAUUCAGGAAACCCAAUGCCCUUUGAAACAUCUACUCAGAAGUUAAGCGCAUGUGGACCCAGUGCCUCCUCAGAGGGAAAGCCCAGCUGAUGUGGACGAUUUUAUGACAAUUUCAGAGAGCAAUCAGGAUACGUUCGAUCAGGUCGAACUGGAACUGAACCAAGGACAGGACAAUGAAAAACAGAGACGAAUGUCCUUGGUUUCUGUCUCGCUUGUGAAAUUGCCAUUUACCCGGUCUUCCAGACUCGGAAUCUCUGAGACGUUCUCACCUCCUGCGCGUGGUUUCUCCACAUCCCAUCAGCCAGCGAGUCUGCCCAGCUCCUUUCCCAGGUCCUCUCGCUCGUACUCCCCACCCGCCACCGCGCUGCUGGGCGCGGACCCUCCCUGAACCACACCGGCAGGCGGACCAGGGCACGCACAGCCAACGCAAUCACAACGCCUACUCUGCUUCUUCUGUGCAGUGUCGGCUCAGCUGUGUUACUUUGCAGUCUUGUGAUAAAGGGAAUCCUGACUUUAACCUGUGCAGAUCAACUUGCUACACAGUGCCCGCAACGCCCCACCCCGACUGUCUCAUGCGUGAUCAAAACCGAGCUCCUCAAAGAACCUGUGCUGGGAGCAGAAGCUUCUUAGAAGUGUUUCCCCUUUUACCGAGCAGCUAUCAAGUGUCAAGCGACUGCAUACAACACGGGAACGCAGCUAGAAAGGGGACUCUGGGGUCCCAGUUGUCAAGGGGGCCCUGGCGGAGCUGGGGAGACGACACAGACGGAAGCCUUGGGUCCUGGGUGUGCGUGUGAGGGACUCGUCUGCCCGGGGUGGGGCCGACUCCUUCCCAGUGAAGCAGAAGCACAUCAAAAAGGAAACAAGAAAGAACACGCAUUAAGGGUUUG